ACCUGGCCAGCUCAGGCAGUGGAGCGUGACACUCCUGAUCCCAGGGUUGUGGGUUCGAGCCCCACGCUGGGUA
rnacentral:tRNA from 1 species